rnacentral:rRNA from 1 species
UACAGAGGUCCCAAGCGUUGUUCGGAUUCAUUGGGCGUAAAGGGUGCGCAGGCGGUCCUGCAAGUCAGGCGUGAAAUCCCCGGGCUUAACCUGGGAAUGGCACUUGAAACUACGGGGCUGGAGUAUGGCAGAGGGAGGUGGAAUUCCACGUGUAGCGGCGAAAUGCGUAGAGAUGUGGAGGAACACCGAUGGCGAAGGCAGCCUCCUGGGCCAAUACUGACGCUCAUGCACGAAAGCGUGGGGAGCAAACAGG